rnacentral:rRNA from 1 species
GACGAACGCUGGCGGCGUGCUUAACACAUGCAAGUCGAACGGAAAGGCCCUGCUUUUGUGGGGUGCUCGAGUGGCGAACGGGUGAGUAACACGUGAGUAACCUGCCCUUGACUUUGGGAUAACUUCAGGAAACUGGGGCUAAUACCGGAUAGGAGCUCCUGAUGCAUGGUGGGGGUUGGAAAGUUUCGGCGGUUGGGGAUGGACUGGCGGCUUAUCAGCGUGUUGGUGGGGUAGUGGCGUACCAAGGCUUUGACGGGUAGCCGGCCUGAGAGGGUGACCGGCAGCAUUGGGACUGAGAUACGGCCCAGACUACUACGGGAGGCAGCAGUGGGGAAUAUUGCACAAUGGGCGGAAGCCUGAUGCGGCAACGCCGCGUGCGGGAUGACGGCCUUCGGGUUGUAAACCGCUUUCGCCUGUGACGAAGCGUGAGUGACGGUAAUGGGUAAAGAAGCACCGGCUAACUACGUGCCAGCAGCCGCCGCCG